AACUGGGGCACUUCUGGGCACAGCUGGUGUUUUGGAGAGGAAAGGAAAACUCAGUGGGGAGAGCUGCUGACUCCAGCCAUGAGAGGAAAGGUCUACGGACAUUUCUCCUACAAAAAUAGAUCACCCGGCAGGAAAGGCCCCCUGGAUCUUUCUACUAGACCAGACUCCUGUUAAAUCUGUCCAGCACCCUGAGGGUUUCCUUCACGGCACUCACCACGAACAGUGUGUGGGUGAGCAUGCGAUUUUCUGUCUCCACUGAGCUGCAGGCCACGUGGAGAACCGCUGUGAGCUGCGCUUUAGUGGAAGAAAACCUAAGGGUCCCGCAUCAUUCUAUGUCGGUUGGAAUGAACUGGGCAUGAAGUCCAUGUCAGUUUUUCUGUUUUGCAAAAUCAAUGCAAUUUCUCACUUGCUGAGCCAACCGCAUGAUCCCAGCCAAAUCAGCCAUCAACUGUUAUCUUUUUUAAACUUCAAAUAAUGAAGUACUCUUGUUUUCCUGAAAUGUCUUGAAAAGGUUAUUUCUAGGCUGACACUCUGCUUGCCAGCUUUUAU
rnacentral:lncRNA from 1 species